rnacentral:misc_RNA from 1 species
GUUGAAGAACGCAGCGAAAUGCGAUAAGUAAUGUGAAUUGCAGAAUUCAGUGAAUCAUCGAAUCUUUGAACGCACAUUGCGCCCGCCAGUAUUCUGGCGGGCAUGCCUGUUCGAGCGUCAUUACAACCCUCAGGCCCCCGGGCCUGGCGUUGGGGAUCGGCGGAGCCCCCCGUGGGCACACGCCGUCCCCCAAAUGCAGUGGCGGUCCCGCCGCAGCUUCCAUCGCGUAGUAGCUAACACCUCGCGACUGGAGAGCGGCGCGGCCACGCCGUAAAACACCCAACUCUUCUGAAGUUGACCUCGAAUCAGGUAGGAAUACCCGCUGAACUUAAGCAUAUCAAUAAGCGGAGGA